rnacentral:misc_RNA from 1 species
AUUUCUCAUCAAAGUUACGGUGCAGAUGAUUUGUUUCAAAUCAAAAAACGUUAAUUAAUUAAAAUUGGUUGAAAAAAUUAAAAGGUUGGGAUGCUUUUCUUUGGUCUUAUAAUUAUACUAGUGUUAUGUCAAUGUGAAUCUAAUCAUUAUGACUUGGAACCACGUCAUCAUCACUAUUAUGCAUCACUACUUCAUAAAAGAGAUGUUCCCAAUCUUCAAGUAGAAGAUGGUUUACCUAGCUUUGCUGCACUGUUUGGAAAAAGUUCUCCUGAUGGUGGUACCUCUUAUGAAGUUUUUGGAUGCACCAUUAAAAAUACAAAAAAUGGUUGUCUUUGGACAUUAAUACCUGACAAAACAUGUCUCGAGAAGCUAUCACUUGGUAAAAUAUUUGAAAUGCUAUCAAGUAAAACUGAGAAGUUUAAAAGUUUGCAAAAUUUGACAAAAAGUAUUUUUUCUCCUGGUGCAUUUGUUGUCAAGCAAUUAAUUUUAGCGACAUGUGGUGAUUCAAAAGGUGAUGUGCAAUUUAGUUGUCAAUCUGUUCAAGCUUUUGAUGUUAUUAAAGAUAAAGUUAAGAUAGUUAGUGGUGAACUUAACUUGAAAUUUAAUUAUAUGGAGUUACAAAAUGAGUUUGCUUUUACUAAUAUUGAAUUUGACAUAAAAGGUAAAGUUGAAAUUGCUGGUCUCAUUGUAUCAGUUCAAGUACAAAAGGAUAAAAAAAGCUCUUCAUCAUCUAUAAAAAUAUUUGCAGAAGAAAUUAAAGUUACUGAUUUUUCAAAGUUCUUUUUAAAAACUAAACAGGAGGCAGUAUCUGAAGUAAUAGCUGGGAUUGAAGAUGGUAAUGGUGAAGUUAUUGUCAAUGAUGGAGGAAUGUUCUCUAAGAUAUUUAUUGAAAAACCAGUAAUUAAAAUUAUGAGAAGUGAAGAUGGAAGCUAUGAAAUUAUAAUAAAUGGUAAAGCUACUGGAAUAACUGGCCUAGGAGAUAUCAAUGCAUUGUUGGUUAUUCAGAAGCCAACAGAUGGUCCUGUUGGAGUUGGUAUUGUCGCUUCUCUCAAAAAUGUUCAGCCUUUAAAGGUUAUUUCUGCAAUUAUUGGCAAAGAUUUAAAUGACAUAGACAUUUUAAAAGAUCUCCUUUUAGAUAUAUCAAUUGAAUAUGCAAACAUAGAUAUAUUAAAGUUGAAAGAUACUGAAAUUAAAGAACUUUUAUCAGCUUCAAUUCCAAGCCAUUCUGCAACUCUUUCAGAAGGUACUAUUAUUAGUCUUAACAUUCCUAUAAACAAAAUUUUAAAGAACAUAGGUUCUACUGCUAAUCUAAACAAUAUACCUAAAGAGUUAUCAUUUCAAAUCAUUAUCAAGAGCGAGAAAAUUUCAUUUGUUUUUCCUCCAGACAUUUUUGAAGAUGGAAUGAAUAUUUUAGCUGCACUAGCACCAAAUGCUUUUGAUCUUCUAAAUAAAUAUUUAUUCAAGUCAAAAUUUAAGAUUCUUUUUAAAAAGUAUGAUGUAAACAUAAAAACAAAAGUAGUUGAAAUUUCUAUAUCAAUUCCUGAUGAGAUUACUCUUGGCAAUACUUUCAUAUCUGUUAAAAAUGCAGAAUUUGAACUUAAACUAGAUGAGAAUGCCAAGUUUCGCUUCUUACUUAAGGCUGAGCUACAACUUGCUGGCUCCUCAAUUAAAAUAGAAGUUGAGAAAAAAGAUGAAAAAUUUGAGUUAAAAGGCUCUGUUGCAUUGCUUACAUCUACUGAACUCAUUAAUGCUUUUGGUUCCAAAGAAUUAGAUGACAAUUUAAAAUCAAAAAUGUCCAAUUUUAAUUUUGGAAUAAAAGAUCUUCAAUUAACUGCUGAGUUUGGACAAGGAGUUUCGCAAGAAGUUAGAUUAGUUGGCGUUCCUAUUUUAUUUAACUGGGAAGGAAUGAAAUUUGAAGCGUACAUGCUAAGUAAACAGGUUCCACCUGAUCAGCUUUCAAAGUUUUCAGAAAAUACAAUUUCUCAGUUCAACAAUCAAAGCAAUAAAUAUGAAAUAAAUCCGUAUUUUUUUAAAAUAAAAAUAGCUAAAAGAAAUAAAAUAUCAUCAAAAGAAACAGAAUAUGAUGAAGAAACAGAUUAUGAUGACACAACAGAUGGAGUGGAAAGCUCAGUACAAAAAGGUUUUGAUAUUGACAGUGAACCAGUAACACAGAGUGUAUCAAGCCUAAAAAAAAAAUCAGAGGAUGCAAGCAAAAGAAUGAUGAGUGAAAAACAAAUGGGUUUGGCAAUUUUUAUGAAAGAUAUUAGAAUUGACAGUAUUUUUGAAAAUUUGUUUAACAAAACUAUCAUGGGUACUAAUUGGAUGGUCAACCUUAACAUCGCACUUGUUAUUUCUAGUACAGACAAAAAUUUAUUCACCAUACCAGAAGUUAAAAAUGCUGUUAAAACUGUAAAUAAAGGAAUAUAUUUUCGAGGAACGUUAACAAUACCCCAAGAUUGUAUGAAGAAUGAAUUGUGCGAGUUCGCAAAGAAGCGAAUGUCUCCUAAUGCUGUAUUGUUUGUUACUGCUGGUUUUCAAGAUAGUACUUUUUUUUUAAAGGCUGGUUAUGAAGGAACAUUAGAGCUUAGCAAGUUAGCGGUAAUAAAUUCAUUAAACUUUGAAGUAAAAGUUGGUUUAAAGAAUGAGUUUUCUUUAAAUGGUAAACUGACGUUGCAAUUGAAACCAAAUCCUUUAGUAUUUGAAGUUUCAAUAAAGUUGGAUAUAAGUGGUGGUUUGAAAUUAGAAGGAACUAUGAAUGGCAUAUGGCACAAUCCAUUUAACUUACCAAAUUUUGCUUUUGGAAAUGUAGGGAUUAGUUUAACACUACAAGUUCCACUAUUUGCUUUUCGAGGUUUUGAGCUCUCUGGUGAAGUUCGUCUUGGUAUUCCAGGUAAAGAGAUAAUUGCUAAGGCUGCUGGUGGAACAGAUAUGGCAACAGAUAAUUACUUAUAUGCAGAUAUCAAUAAACUUUCCAUAAGUGGUUGUUCAGAAGCAUUUGGCUAUAAUCUAAAACUCCCACAAGUGAUCUUAGAUUCAGGUUUUCCAGAUGGGGUUACUAUUGGAUUUUCCUCUAAGCCAAAAGGCAAGGAAAUUAAACAACUUGGUACAAAAAUUGAAAAUGGUUUCCAACUACAGGGUAUGCUGAAUGUUCUGGGUUUUAAAGCAAAAAGUAAAGUUGUCAUUAAUCCAAAAAAGCUUCUAGUUGACUGCGAGUUAUCUCGUAUUGACAUUUUAAAUGGUGCUCUUGUUUUGGCAAGAAAUUUAAAAGAUCAAGAAAAUGGUCCGAAGGUCUUUAUAGAGUUAUCUCCUACUUCAGCAAAGUUUUUUAUACAAGGUGCUAUUUCAAUUUUGGGGAUUUCUUCAGCAGUUACAAUUGAUAUUGGAGAUAAUGGCAUACACUUUAGCAUUUCUGGAAAUUUGUUUGACAUUGUCGAAGCAAAUUUGACAGUUAAAGCCCCAUAUGGAAAAAAUAUGAAAUUAAGUGAUGCUGGAUUUCAGGUUGCAGCAUGUUUAUCAGCUGACUUAAAUGAAGCAACCAAUGAAGCUAACACUGUUGUACAAGAUGCUGUUGAGCAAACAAAAGAUAUUGUAUCAGUUACUCAAACAAGUGUUAAUGAACGUGCCACAUGGUAUAACAAAAUUGUUUCAACAAUGGAAUCUUUAAAAAAAACAAUGGAAAAACUUCUUGAGAAGAUGACUAUUACUGCUACUAAGAUAAAAAAGUAUGAACAAAAAAUUGAGACUGAUUGUACAGAAAAAUGUAAUAAUGUUGGAAAGUUUUAUGCAAACAAAAAAUGCUUAGCUAAGUGUGUGAUGGCUAAAAAGUAUGCAUCUAUUAAAAUAGUAGCAAAGAAAGCAAAGCAAGAGAUACGUGAAGUUAGAUACAAGUUGGUUAUGAGUAUUUUAAAUGCAGCAGAAGCUCUAGUUAAAAAAUCAAAGACAAUCAUAGAUAAAACAGAAGCUAUCAGUAAUAGUGUUUCUAGUUAUGCUCAAGCUGGAUUAAAAGCUGUUAAAGAUGCUUCUGAAUACCUUAAGAAAAAUAUUAUCCAAAUUCAUCAUGCUUGCUUCGACACAUCUCUUGAGUUGGCAUCAAAGGCUUGUUUUGCUGUCAAAUUGAAUGUAACUGUUAUGGGAAACCAAAACAAAGUUUUUGAAGCAGAAACAUGCUUUGAAAUGGGUUUCAUGAAAUCCAUUGGUAAAGCAAUCACAGAUAAAAUUUAUCCUGGAAUACGAGCAAUUGGUGAAAAAAUUAAAGAGACAAAAGCAAAAUUAUUUCAAGUAGAUGAAGAUGAAAAAGAAUAGCAUGUUACCAUGGAGAUAAAUUGGUUAGAAUAUUGUGAUCAUGCAUGCAAAUCAACUAAAAGAGCAAAGUUAGAUUAUACAGUUAAAUAAAGAAACACUUGAAAACGAAAAAGAAGUUAAAAAGUUAGAAGAAGAAGUCGCUACUGAUAAUGAUGAUGACAAUAAUGAUGAUGAUGAUGAUGAUGACACUGAUGUUGAUGUUAAUGAUGACAGUGUUGAUAAUGGUGGCAGUUUUACUAAGAAGAUGAUCAAAAAG